GACAGAGGGUGCGAACGUUGCUCGGAAUUACUGGGCGUAAAGCGCGUGUAGGCGGACAAGAAAGUCGGAUGUGAAAGUCCUGGGCUCAACCUAGGAAGUGCACCCGAAACUGAUUGUCUAGAGUGAUGGAGAGGAGAGCGGAAUUCCUGGUGUAGAGGUGAAAUUCGUAGAUAUCAGGAGGAACAUCGGUGGCGAAGGCGGCUCUCUGGACGUAAACUGACGCUGAGACGCGAAAGCGUGGGUAGCAAACAGG
rnacentral:rRNA from 1 species